rnacentral:rRNA from 1 species
UACGGAAGGUGCAAGCGUUGUUCGGAUUGACUGGGCGUAAAGAGCACGUAGGCGGGUUUGUAAGCCGAUUGUGAAAGCCCUGGGCUUAACCUGGGAACGGCAAUCGAAACUGCGAAUCUUGAAUACCUGAGAGGUUAGUGGAAUUCCUGGUGUAGGAGUGAAAUCCGUAGAUAUCAGGAGGAACACCGGCGGCGAAGGCGGCUAACUGGCAGAGUAUUGACGCUGAGGUGCGAAAGCGUGGGGAGCAAACAGG